UACACUCCUGCGGGAGGCAGCAGUGGGGAAUUUUGGACAAUGGGCGAAAGCCUGAUCCAGCCAUGCCGCGUGCAGGAUGAAGGCCUUCGGGUUGUAAACUGCUUUUGUACGGAACGAAACGGCCCUUUCUAAUAAAGAGGGCUAAUGACGGUACCGUAAGAAUAAGCACCGGCUAACUACGUGCCAGCAGCCGCGGUAAUACGUAGGGUGCAAGCGUUAAUCGGAAUUACUGGGCGUAAAGCGUGCGCAGGCGGUUAUGUAAGACAGUUGUGAAAUCCCCGGGCUCAACCUGGGAACUGCAUCUGUGACUGCAUAGCUAGAGUACGGUAGAGGGGGAUGGAAUUCCGCGUGUAGCAGUGAAAUGCGUAGAUAUGCGGAGGAACACCGAUGGCGAAGGCAAUCCCCUGGACCUGUACUGACGCUCAUGCACGAAAGCGUGGGGAGCAAACAGGAUUAGAAACCCCGGUAGUCCCA
rnacentral:rRNA from 1 species